rnacentral:rRNA from 1 species
UACGAAGGGGGCGAGCGUUGUUCGGAUUUACUGGGCGUAAAGGGCGCGCAGGCGGCUUAUUUUGUCAGGCGUGAAAGCCCCGGGCUUAACCUGGGAACUGCGUUUGAUACGGAUGGGCUAGAGUUCGGGAGAGGAGCGUGGAAUUCCCAGUGUAGAGGUGAAAUUCGUAGAUAUUGGGAAGAACACCGGUGGCGAAGUCGGCGCUCUGGACCGAGACUGACGCUGAGGCGCGAAAGCGUGGGGAGCAAUCAGG